rnacentral:misc_RNA from 1 species
GAUGAAGAACGUAGCGAAAUGCGAUACUUGGUGUGAAUUGCAGAAUCCCGUGAACCAUCGAGUCUUUGAACGCAAGUUGCGCCUCAAGCCAUUAGGUUGAGGGCACGUCUGCCUGGGCGUCACAUAUCGUUGCCUGAUGCCAGUUUCCUCGUGAUGGGUGACUGUGCAGGGCGAAUGAUGGCUUCCCGUGAGCAUUGUUGCCUGAUGGUUGGUUGAAAAUUGAGUCCUUGGUAGGGAGCGCCGUGAUAGAUGGUGGUUGAGUGACGAACGAGACCCAAUCAUGUGAGACCCCUACCGAAUUUGGCCUUCAUGACCCACAUGCGUCUUUGGAACGCUCAUGACGAGACCUCAGGUCAGGCGGGGCUACCCGCUGAGUUUAAGCAUAUCAAUAAGCGGAGGA